UACAUGUGGGGCAAGCGUUUGUUCGGAAUCACUGGGCGUAAAGGGCGCGUAGGCGGCCCUCUUAGUCGCGUGUGAAAGCCCCGGGCUCAACCUGGGAAUUGCGAUGGAGACUGCAAGGCUAGAAUCUGGCAGAGGGGGGGUAGAAUUCCACGUGUAGCAGUGAAAUGCGUAGAGAUGUGGAGGAACACCGAUGGCGAAGGCAGCCCCCUGGGUCAAGAUUGACGCUCAUGCACGAAAGCGUGGGGGAGCAAACAGG
rnacentral:rRNA from 1 species